rnacentral:tRNA from 1 species
CCCCAAGGUGCAACUGGCUGCACACCCGACUGCUACUCGGGAGGGCCGGGUUCGAGUCCCGGUGGGGUGA